UUUAGUUUGUAGGAUUUUAAUUAAAAGAAAAAGGAAAAAUUAACAAAAUAAAAGAAAGAAUUGGAAAAGAAAGGUUUGUCUUGUGAAAUUGGGCUAAAAUUAAUGCUGAGCCCAAAGCCUAUACCUAAAUCUGCCCAAACCCAAUAACCCACUCAAAACCCAAUCUCCCUACCCAAAUACCCAUUACCCUUUACCCUACCUCCUACAUGUAAAAACACAAUUUAGAAACCAAAAAAAGGACCUCACCCUUGAGAUCAGGGAAUCAGCGCAGCUUUUUUGGAAAAGAGACGUUCCCGUUUGUCUUCUUCUUCACAAAUCAACAACCAGAGAGACUCCCCCCUCACGUCUUCGUCUCCACCCCAAAACCAGUCAAAGCAGCCAUUAAACUUAACCCCAAACAGUCACCAAAAAUCGGUAAAUAGCUGUUUCCUUCAGCAGAAUUUAAAAGGAAUUCAUAAAGGUCGAGUCCAAAGUCUAUUGUGUCAUCGAGAUUCGAGUUUGUGCCCGUCGAUGUUUCGGACUUGUUGAAGUCUCAUUACUGUUGAAGUUGUCGAAUCUGCUGGGUUAUCUGGUUCGGAGAUGUGGAUUUGUGCUCUAGUUGCUAUUGCUGUUGAUCUUCCUUACAAAUGGAAGUCGGAGCUGUUUGCGGUUGUUUCUCCUGCAAUUAGUAGCUGAACACCCAUUUGAAGUUAUUUUCGGCCUUUAUUUGGCUAUUUUAAAGUCUUACUACUGCUGUCCAUAAAUUUUCAUAUAUAAAAAGCUGUUUUGGAGCCCUGGAAUUGCCGCUCGUUGUCCGUUGAUUUGCGUUGUCGUUACACUGUUUCUCGUUGUUGUUCUGUCGCUAUGGAGCUACAUUUGUUUUUAAUUCCAUACUUUAUUUGAUUAAUUUCUGCCCGAAAAAGGAAAUGACUGGAGUUGUGUACUGCAUUUGGAGCUGUGUAGUCAAAUGCAUUUGCUGAAGAACCCGAAAUCAUUGCGUGAGAUCUGUUGGUUCUCAUCGGAAUUUUGGGAGUCAAAUAUAGAGUAGUGGCUGAUUAUUUCUACUGCUAUCAAGGAGAUAUUCACUGGAACAGGUUUUUCUGCAAAGUACGGAUUGGAUGUGCGAAAAUAAGAAUCUAGCUCUCACUAGAGAAAGUGGAACAUUUGAUCUCAAUACCAGCCGAACCAACUUUGACAUAAUGUAUGCAGAGACAUAGGGUCUCAAGAUCCAUCUUCUUAUCAUCGGAUCAAGGAAGCCUGUGAGAAUAUUUCAUAGUCUGUUUUAUCGAGAGUAUCAGAUUUCAGUCUAAAGUCAAUGGGGGAAGCAAGUCAAGAAUCAAGACAAGAUUCCAGAUGGCAUUUAGAUAGGAAUUUUGUAACUCUUAGAUUUCAAGAGUAUGUAAUUUUCUUUUCAUUUUGAUGUAAUAGUAGGAACCGCGGAUCGGAACCUCGACAGAACCUCAAUGGACCUCCAUCUAAGAAUACUCCAUCACUCUUCUUCCACUUGAACUACACGUGACCUGAUUCCAUUAUAACCCGGAUAUGUAGGUUGCCUAAAA